rnacentral:misc_RNA from 1 species
GAUGAAGAACGCAGCGAAAUGCGAUAAGUAGUGUGAAUUGCAGAAUUCAGUGAAUCAUCGAGUCUUUGAACGCACAUUGCGCCCCCUGGUAUUCCGGGGGGCAUGCCUGUCCGAGCGUCAUUGCUGCCCUCAAGCACGGCUUGUGUGUUGGGCCUCCGUCCUCCUCCCGGGGGACGGGCCCGAAAGGCAGCGGCGGCACCGCGUCCGGUCCUCGAGCGUAUGGGGCUUCGUCACCCGCUCUUGUAGGCCCGGCCGGCGCUUGCCGACACAUCAAUCUUUUUUCCAGGUUGACCUCGGAUCAGGUAGGGAUACCCGCUGAACUUAAGCAUAUCAAUAGCGGAGGA